AUACUACUUUGAUUCUAUUUGAAAAUUUGAAGUUGCACCUUCAAAGCUUUUGUCAAGACUGCCAGUUCUUUUGAAAAGUUGAUCAAAAUGAGUUUUCCACAGGCAAACUGAGAUAUAGCAAUGAAGGCAUAACAUACCUAAAAUAUGGAAAGCUAUCUCUCUAAACUAUGCAAAAGGCAUCAGAUCGGAACAGAUAAAAGUAGAAGAGAUGUAGGCUGAGAGGAAAACAAUACAGACACUCCAGGAUUCUUUACUGCAUGAUCUAUAGUGUAAUAGUAUCAAAUCCAGUGAUGGCACCUGAAACAGGCCUUGUGAUACACCCUGUUGUCAGCAGUUAACUUAUCAACCAGAUAGACAGUCUUGUCACAGGCCAUACAU